rnacentral:rRNA from 1 species
UAAUACGGAGGGUGCAAGCGUUAAUCGGAAUUACUGGGCGUAAAGCGCACGCAGGCGGUUUGUUAAGUCAGAUGUGAAAUCCCCGGGCUCAACCUGGGAACUGCAUUUGAAACUGGCAAGCUAGAGUCUCGUAGAGGGGGGUAGAAUUCCAGGUGUAGCGGUGAAAUGCGUAGAGAUCUGGAGGAAUACCGGUGGCGAAGGCGGCCCCCUGGACGAAGACUGACGCUCAGGUGCGAAAGCGUGGGGAGCAAACAGGAUUAGAUACCCUGGUAGUCCACGCUGUAAACGAUGUCGAUUUGGAGGUUGUGCCCUUGAGGCGUGGCUUCCGGAGCUAACGCGUUAAAUCGACCGCCUGGGGAGUACGGCCGCAAGGUU